GACGAACGCUGGCGGCGUGCUUAACACAUGCAAGUCGAACGGAAAGGCCCUGCUUUUGUGGGGUGCUCGAGCGGCGAACGGGUGAGUAACACGUGAGUAACCUGCCCUUGACUUUGGGAUAACUUCAGGAAACUGGGGCUAAUACCGGAUAGGAGCUCCUGCUGCAUGGUGGGGGUUGGAAAGUUUCGGCGGUUGGGGAUGGACUCGCGGCUUAUCAGCUUGUUGGUGGGGUAGUGGCUUACCAAGGCUUUGACGGGUAGCCGGCCUGAGAGGGUGACCGGCCACAUUGGGACUGAGAUACGGCCCAGACUCAUACGGGAGGCAGCAGUGGGGAAUAUUGCACAAUGGGCGGAAGCCUGAUGCAGCAACGCCGCGUGCGGGAUGACGGCCUUCGGGUUGUAAACCGCUUUCGCCUGUGACGAAGCGUGAGUGACGGUAAUGGGUAAAGAAGCACCGGCUAACUACGUG
rnacentral:rRNA from 1 species